GACGAACGCUGGCGGCGUGCUUAACACAUGCAAGUCGAACGGAGUGGCGAACGGGUGAGUAUUACGUGAGUAACUGCCUAUUAGAGGGGGAUAACUAUUGGAAACGAUAGCUCAUACCGCAUACUAGUAGAUGGACCUGCGUUGUAUUAGCGAGUAGGUAGGGUAAUGGCCUACCUAGGCAACGAUACAUAGCCGACCUGAGAGGGUGAUCGGCCACACUGGGACUGAGACACGGCCCAGACUCCUACGGGAGGCAGCAGUAGGGAAUCUUCGGCAAUGGGGGGAACACUGACCGAGCAACGCCGCGUGAGUGAAGAAGGUUUUCGGAUCGUAAAGCUCUGUUGUUAAGGAAGCGGUACUUAACCAGAAAGGGACGGCUAACUACGUGCCAGCCGCCGCGGUAAUAC
rnacentral:rRNA from 1 species